AAUCUUAUAGUUUAAUAUAAAACAUUAAAUUGCAAAUUUAAUAUUGAUCUUCAUCUAAGAUUU
rnacentral:tRNA from 1 species